GUGUGUAAUAAUUACACAGUCUGGCCUGCCCACUGAGUAGUUUAAAGGGCCGCGGUAUUUAAACCGUGCUAAGGUAGCAUAAUAAAUAGUCUCUUAAUUGGGGUCUAGUAUGAAUGGUCGGACAGGGGGUGAGCUGUUUUAGUUGUAGAGUUUGAAUUUUACUUUUAAGUGAGAAGGCUUAAAUUGUAUGGUGGGACGAUAAGACCCUAUAAAGCUUUACAUUCUUUCUGUUAGUUGAGGAGGUUAUGGUUUUCUGUUCUUGUCAGUGAGUGUGUUUUGUUGGGGCGGCGUAAAUAUAAAAUGGUAACUGUUUUUAUUAGAAAAUAGAUUUUUUUAGGAGAUUUGAUCCUUUAUAGAGAUUAUAAGAGUGAAGUUACUUUAGGGAUAACAGCGUAAUUUUUCUUGAGAGUUCUUAUCGACAGAAGUAGUUGCGACCUCGAUGUUGAAUUAAGGUAUCCCCAAGGUGUAGCAGUUUUGGUGGUGGGUCUGUUCGACCUUUAAAAC
rnacentral:rRNA from 1 species